GCUGAGAGGUUCUUGCCGACUCGAACUACUGUAACUCCGCUUAGCUCUAAUUACAAUGUAAUAGUUGCUUCAUUUUCUAACUGCUUUUGUGUCUUUCUCACAAGUAUCUAGGUAGGCUUUUUUCUUUUUUCUUAUUUUCCUGUUAGUAUGAAAAUUUGAUGCUGCCUGCUAGCCCUGGACAAUAAUACCCAAGAAAGAGUGAGAUGACAAUCCGCCCAGACUGGAAGGAGCUGCGUUGAGAUGUAAGAAAAUUUGCCUGCUAGCCCUGGACACGAAUACCCAAGAAAGAGCAAGAUGACCAUCCACCCAGACUGGAAGGAGCUCCGUUGAGAUGUAUGAAAAUGUGAUGCUACCUGCUAGCCCUGGAUACAAAUACCCAAGAAAGUGAGAUGACCAUCCGCCAAGACUGGAAUGA